UUAUCAAUUCAAUAAAUUUGAGUUAAUCAUCAAUUGGAUGGCACAAGGAUAUAUCAACUCAAAAGGAAAUAUGGAGAUGGAAGUUAAAGCAGAGCACUACUUUGAAAAUUUAGCCAUGCGCUCUUUUUUUCAAGACUUUGAGAAAGAUGGGAAUGAUGGUAAAAUUGUAAGUUGCAAAAUGCAUGAUAUUGUGCAUAACUUUGCAAAAUCAAUGGCAAAAGAUGUGUGCUUCACAAUCAAUUAUAGUGGUGACAAGGUUGAGAAAGACUUUAAGAGGGCUCGCCAUUUGUCAUUAAUAAUUAAAGAAACAUUUCCUGAAUUUGUCUAUGAAGCGAAAAAUUUACGCUUUUUAAAUUUGGAUUUUAUUUCUUCUCCGAUUGUCCAACCCAAGUUAUUCGACCAUUUGACAUGUCUCCGUACAUUACAUUUGGAAGGUGAGUCCAUUUUGGAACUUCCAAAUGAGGUGGAAAAAUUGAUACAUUUAAGAUUACUCAAGUUAUCUUGUAUAAAGAUAAAAGAAUUGCCUGAAAGUAUAUGUAAUUUAUGUAAUUUACAAAGUUUGGAUGUUAGUGGUUGUUGGAAACUUGAGAAAUUACCCAAGGGUAUAGGUAAACUAUUUAAUUUAAGACACCUCCUGAUUGAUGGAAUAAGAAUAAAAUCGUUUCCGAAGGGAAUUGGGAGAUUAACUUGUCUUAAAACAUUAGGAUACUUUCCUGUAGGCGGUAAGGGCGAAGAAAUAUGUAAACUGGGAGAAUUAGAACAUUUGAACCACAUUCAAGGGAAACUUGAAAUAUACGGGUUGAGUGAUGUGGUAGAUUCUGGUGCGAUCGAGAAUACAUUGAAGAAGAAGAAAGACCUCCGUGAUUUGGUGCUAUAUUUUAAGACAUUAGAGGAAGAGCCAGAGGAAGAGGAAGAGACAGAGGAAGAGGAGGAAGAGGAAGAGACAGAGGAAGAAAGAAGAAGAAAAAUGGAGAAAGAUGUAGCCAUUCUAAAUGCCUUAGAGCCACCUCCCCGCUUGGAAUCUUUACAUAUUGUUUCUUAUAAGGGCACCACAAUGUAUCCUAAUUGGAUGAUGUCCAAAUUGACCUAUUUGAAAAGCCUUAUGAUCGAAUUUUACCCAAACCUAGAGCAGUUGCCUCCUUUGGGGAAGCUGCCGUUGCUCGAAGAAUUAGUAAUAGAUAUCGCUCGAAUGAUUCGAAAGGUGGGAGAUGAAUUUUUGGGAAUAGACAUAGAAGAAGAAGAAUUAUCAGAAUCAUCCAAAGACAUCAUCAUAUUCCCAAACCUUAAAUCUCUCGAAUUUACCCAAAUGGACAGCUGGGAAGAAUGGAGUGGGAUGGGAGGAACAAUAGAAGAAGAAGAAGAAAAAGAUAAUAGUGCUAAUGCUUUUGUUACUAAUAAUACUCCAAAAAUUCAAAUAAUGCCACUUCUUCAUUCCUUGCAAAUUGGGUGGUGCUACAAGCUAAAGUCUCUGCCAGACUACCUGCGUAAUACUCCAUUACAGGAAUUGCAUAUCUAUGGUUAUGAGGGCACCGCAAUGUAUCCUAAUUGGAUGAUGUCCAAAUUGACCUAUUUGAAAAAACUCUAUCUCGACGAGUGCCCAAACCUAGAGCAGUUGCCUCCUUUGGGGAAGCUGCCGUUGCUCGAAGAAUUAGAAAUAAGGGAAGCUCCAAUGAUUCGAAAGGUGGGAGAUGAAUUUUUGGGAAUAGACAUAGAAGAAGAAGAAUUAUCAGAAUCAUCCAAAAACAAUAACAACAAAGACAUCAUCAUAUUAUUCCCAAACCUUAAAUCUCUCAUAUUUAAAUCUUUAUGGACGUGGAAAGAAUGGAGUGGGAUGGGAGGAACAAUAGAAGAAGAAGAAGAAAAAGAUAAUAGUGCUAAUGCUUUUGUUACUAAUAAUACUCCAAAAAUUCAAAUAAUGCCACGUCUUCAUUCCUUGACAAUUUGGGAUUGCGGCAAUCUAAAGUCUCUGCCAGACUACCUGCGUAAUACUCCAUUACUAAAGGAAUUGGAAAUCUGGGUAUGUCCAAUUCUCAAGCAGCGUUUCGAAAGAGGGAUAGGAUCUUACUGGCCCAACAUUUCUCACAUUCCAAACAUCCAAAUUGAUUUUAAAUAUGUGCAAAAAGACGGUCAACUUCCAGACAGACAGCAUUGAUUGAUUCAGAGAUGCAUGAUGAUGUGGCUGAGGUGGACAAGAUUGAGGACAGUAAUCAUGAGGGAGAUGAUGGGGCUGGGUUUGAGGCGGAUGAACAAGUGGUGGAAUUAAACAUUGAUGAAAGGGAUUUGUGAAUCUUGAUAGUACAGGGUAGUUGACAUGCACUGAAGAAAACAGAUACAUUGUUAUGAGACUGGGCAGUAAGAGCAGAGUGUUGAAGAAGACAAAAAGUUUGAAGACGAUGAGGGAGGAGGAAAGAUGUUCAACAUGAAGUAAAGGGGGAACUGCUUGUAACCUAAGUAGGAUUGUGAAGAUGAAAACUUGGUCAAACGUAGGUGAUUGGCUGAGCUGAACAGUACAGGAUGAUUGUCAUACACUGAAGAAGACAGAUACAUCUUAUGGGACAGGCUAGUAAAAGGAAGGUGUUGAAGUGGACAAAGACUUUAAAGACGAAUGAUGAGGAUUCAUAGCAAUGUAAGCUACUCUUGCUAAUAGUGAUCUGGACUGUUGCUUGAUUCCCGAGUCACCCUUUAACCUUGAAGGAGCUGGAGGACAAUUUGAAGAAAUAAAUUAAAGAAAAUGGAUACAUGGUUAUAGUAAUAGCUAAAAAGUGCAGGAAAAAAGCUUUUUUGUAAGCAUGAACACCAAAGACCUGCAGGAUUCUUUUGCAAAUAAGCUACUCCAGGAUGUGAGUCUGGAUAUAUCAAAAUUUUAGAUCCCAUGUACAUGCUGUUCCAAGCAAUGCUUCGGAUAAUGUGUGUUAAAUCCCCCUAGUGCACAACCAUUUGUGGUGCAAUGGCAGGGUAUACGAGCUCCUAUUAAUGGGAGACAUGCUUAGAUACCAUUCUAUCACCUGUAUCCGACCAAACAAAACCCACUUACUUUACAAGGGAGCUCUGAGGGCGAGCACUUGACAUAUGAGAAAGGAUUCUGAGCUACCAAAGAAAUCACUGACAAGGUUCAUUAAGCUGGUACCACAACCCAUGUUUGAAGUUUUACGCAUGGAGAACGAUGUUGUAUACUAUGAGGCCCAAUUGCCCAUACUAUUUGUGGAGUUCAUGCACGGUCUGCCACUUAUAAACUCUGGGUGCAGGUAUUGCAUAGAUUAUCUAGUAAAGUGUAAAACUAUUGGAGAGGCACAUUUUAUAGGGGUCAAAAUUGUUGAGGAGUGAUGCACCUCAAAUAAGCUUGUCUUACAUUCUGAUGCAAGAUAGCUAAUUGAUAAAGCUUGAUAGGCCCUGCAUACGUCAGAUUAAUGAAGCUCCCUUUCCCUUUGUCCUGAUCAUUGACCUUAUUUAUAAAGCUCUAUACUCAAUUCAUGGAUGUAAAAGUGCUGAUAGAUGUGUCUCCAUUCAAAAUCAUGAACAUAGCAUGUCGUGGAUGUCAAGAAGAAAAAAUGUCAAGCGGUGACACAUGAACAGGAAAUUAGGCAAAUGCUUUUAUGUAUAUCUGUAAGUUCAUUCCAAAGAAUUUGUUGUUUAAAUAUGAAUGCCUGGAUAAAACUUUUAUUGCUGUAAGGACAGGUUUUGAUUUCAAGAGUAUGUAAAUUGCAUGUGUUAGUGGCAAAAUUGAUUUGUAUAAGCAGAUGCUUUUGUUAAAUUUCAUUUUUCUGAUGGCUAAUAUCCUAAGACAAUAUUGCUGCUAAAAGAAGUGCUAGAGUGUUAAUAAUCUUUAAUAAGCCAGUCGCUAAAAAGCUAUCAACAAAGUGACCUUUAGAAGCAGUUGUUUAUAUAUUUUUAAGCUUCUCAUGUUUAUUAUUCAGUGAAAAAAAAUCAUGUUUGUUGUGCCUUUGUGUGGACCUGUAAACAAAUGAUAAAAAAUGUGCAACUAAAAUUCAAGUGUUGUUGCUCCUGCUUCCCUUGUUGUUACAUAAGAUUUAGAUAGGGACCAGUCAUCUUGGUUCAUAAGAAUUUGAUGUCCUUCAAGUUUAAUUUUUCAUCAUAGCUAGAAGAAUUGGCCCACGCUUUGUAGAGAAACACUUCUCUUGAAGAAAAGUAGACAUGCGUGACGCCGCCAACGCGGGUGGAGGCUCCGGCUCGGCUCGCAACACGAAGAUCAAGACGGAGAAUCAGAGCUCCUACGCCGGAGCUCCGAAUCCAUUCACGAAGAUCAAGUAUAAAAAUAAUCUUAAAGUUUAGAAGUGAUUGAUUCAAUGAUUUGAGAAUAGAAAUGGUGUUUGUGGCAUUUUUAAAUCUGGACAGUACAGGGCAGUUGACAUGCACAGAAGAAGACAGAUACAUUAUGAUGAGACUGGGUGUUGAAGAAGACAAUGAAUGAGGAGGCAUGCAUGUGGAUUGAUGAUGAUCAAGAUAAUGAAUCUAGGCAAGAAAUCAAUGACAAAGAUUAGCUGGUUAAAGUAUACAAGAUUGAGGACAUUAGUGAUGAAGAAGAUGGGGACUAAGGAUAAGGACUUAUCAAAAAAGAAGAUUAGACUAAGUAUAAGAAGGUUUUUUGCGGAGCUGAACAGAAUAGGGCGAUUGACAUACAUAGAAGAAGACAGAGACUUUAAAGACGAACGAUGAGGGAUCAUGAAGUUUAGUUACAAGUAGAGUUUUUAUAAAUGAUGAUAGUGAGGGAUAUGAAGCCUCUGUUAUUGAAGUUUGGGGUGACUUUAACUCUCCCUUUUUUAGGAUUUAUUUGACUCUCCCCUUAGAACCAGAAGGAUCAAUCCCGCCCUGCUGCUUUCCUUGCCACUCUUUGGGAAAUUAGGAGGUGUGGGCUUAUAGUUGCAGCGGUAGGAAUACUGAAGACAAUUGAUGAUGGCAUUCCUGUACUCCUCUAGGCAUACACAACUCUAAAAUUUGAUGGUCAUGUAUAUCUCCUAAUACAAAACCAUGAUUUGAUAUUGAUGAUGACUUCAAAAAUUGGGUUUUAGUUUCAUCAUUUGAAGCCUUAAUGUCUCCGUUUCCUCCUCAUCAUUAGGCAUUCAUUGAAGUUUAAAUCUAUUGGAGAAGCACAGUUUUAUAUUGGUGAAAAUUUUUGAGCAAGGAUGCACCUCAGAUAGCCAUGUCUUACAUUCGGGUGCAAGAUAUAUUUGCAUGUCAUGGACGUGAAGAAGAAAUAAGGUCAACCAGUGACACAUGGAUGUCAAGAAGAAAUAAGGUCAACCAGUGACACAUGAAUUGGAAACUAGGCAAUUGGCAUUAUGCGUAUCUAUCAAAGACAGAUCCUCUGGAUUUUACAAAUAGCAUAAGCCUAGCAGAUUAACACAAAAAACUUGCAAUGGAUGAUGAAGAAAGGUCAAGAUCAAUCUCAAAGAGAAAAUCCCAUCUAUGUGGUCACAGAUUAACACUACUAGUCAUGGGUUGCCAAAUGGGGAUACAAUUGUGAUCUUGUUUGUGUGUACUGCAAGAGAAAGCUGGCGUCAAUGUUGGGCUGCAUAAGAUGGGUAUCUUUCUCAAAUAUAACGAUCCUAAUUACAUGAUCUGUGUUGUUCUGAGCAAUGCAUCUGAAAUGUGUGCUCAACCCUCCUUGCACACAGGGCCAUUCAUGGUUUAGUGGCAGGGUAUAUGGAUUCACAGUCGAGCCUAUUAAUGGGAGGCAUGCUUACAUUCCAUUCCCUUGUUCAAUUGAGAAACAAAGCAAGGUCAUGAUAAGUGACAUGAUGUGGGCAAAACUACAGUCUUCAACCAAUCAAUUGAGUUUUCUUGAUCGCGGGUAGAAAGACGGGAUGUACCACAAAUCUUAUCAAUAUAUAAGCAGACCCAUUUGGAAGUAACAAGAUCUAAGCAUAUAUGAGUUCCCAAAGAUGUCAUGAGGACAUAGUGAGGAAGAACCACUUGGAACACCAUUUUAGAAGCAAAAAUGGCUUAAUAAAGUGAUUAGCAGCACUGUCCAAUCAGAGUAGCUGUUAAUUUGGUGUUUUCUGUGUUAUUAUAUCCCUUUGUUUUUCCCUGCAUGUUGAUACUAAUUAUGUCAAGUACGUCCCCUGAAAUCUUUGUGGUUUGUUCUAGCAUUGCUGAUUCAUAAGAUUUUUGUGUGAAAUUAUCCUAUGUAGAUGGGGCCUACUUGAGCUUCUUGACACGAUACUUUUGUAAAGAACCACUGUAUAUUAUUUUGAAUAUAUAAGAAAUUUGAGUUUGCA